rnacentral:rRNA from 1 species
AAAGGUUAAGCCAUGCAAGCCUAAGUACAAACUUGGAUAGCUGUAAGGCAUACAAAGUGAAACCGCGAAAGGCUCAUUAAAUCAGUUAUGGUUCACUAGAUGGCACCAUAGACUCACGUGCGGGCAACCGCAUUCGAGCUGACUUGGAUAACUGUGGCAAUUCUAGAGCUAAUACAUGCAAAUCGAGUCCCGACCGCGACAAGCCUUCGUGGUGUAAGUUGGAAGGGAUGCUUUUAUUAGAUCAAAAACCAACGGGUCCGGCUUCGGUCGGUUCUCCAAAACGGUUCUUGGUGACUCUGGAUAAAUGUCUGCAGACCAGGCUCAGCUGAUCGCUWAGGCCUUCGUGCCGGCGACGCGUCUUUCAAAUGUCUGACUUAUCAAACUGUCGACGGCCGGCCUUUGGGCCAGCCGUGGUGAUAACGGGUAACGGGGAAUCAGGGUUCGAUUCCGGAGAGGGAGCCUGAGAAAUAGCUACCACAUCCAAGGAAGGCAGCAGGCGCGCAAAUUACCCACUCCCUGAACGGGGAGGUAGUGACGAUAAAUAACGAUGCAGAACUCUUUCCGAGGCUCUGCAAUCGGAAUGGGUAUACUCUAAACACUUGUGCGAGUAUCCACUGGAGGGCAAGUCUGGUGCCAGCAGCCGCGGUAAUUCCAGCUCCAGUAGCGUAUAUUAAAGUUGUUGCGGUUAAAAAGCUCGUAGUUGGAUCUGUGUUUCGAGCCGUCGGUUCGCCGCCCGUCGGCGUUUAACUGACGCGACUUCGAAACGUCCUGCCGGUUGGCGGUCGGUCGCGCGUCUUAUCUUCGGAUUUGACGGACUUGCGACGCGCCAGUGUUUUCACCCGUUCCCGAUGCUCUUCACCGAGUGUCGAAACGGGCCGGCACGUUUACUUUGAAUCAAACUGAGUGCUCAAGGCAGGCAAAUUUUACCGCUUGAAAGAUCUUGCAUGGAAUAAUGGAAUAGGACCUCGGUUCUAUUUUGUUGGUUUUCAGAACCCCGAGGUAAUGAUAAAUGGGGACUGACGGGGGCAUUAGUAUUGCGGCGUUAGAGGUGAAAUUCUUGGAUCGUCGCAAGACUACCUAAAGCGAAAGCAUUUGCCAAGGAUGUUUUCAUUAAUCAAGAACGAAAGUUAGAGGUUCGAAGGCGAUCAGAUACCGCCCUAGUUCUAACCAUAAACGAUGCCAGCCAGCGAUCCGCGGUGGUUCGUUUGUAAUGACCCCGCGGGCAGCUUCCGGGAAACCAAAGCUUUUGGGUUCCGGGGGUAGUAUGGUUGCAAAGCUGAAACUUAAAGGAAUUGACGGAAGGGCACCACCAGGAGUGGAGCUUGCGGCUUAAUUUGACUCAACACGGGAAACCUCACCAGGCCCAGACACUGAAAGGAUUGACAGAUUGAUAGCUCUUUCUUCAUUCAGUGGGUGGUGGUGCAUGGCCGUUCUUAGUUGGUGGAGCAAUUUGUCUGGUUAAUUCCGAUAACGAACGAGACUCUAGCCUACUAAAUAGCCGAGACCAUCGCGCUAAGUUCUGCUCGUCGCAGGUCACCCGGUAUCCUUUGGCUACCGGCGUCAAUCAGUUUCUUCUUAGAGGGAUCCGCGCCUUUKAGGCGCCCGAGAUUGAACAAUAACAGGUCUGUGAUGCCCUUAGAUGUUCUGGGCCGCACGCGUGCUACACUGAAGGAGUCAGCGAGUAUAAGUACCCCUAGGCCUACGGGUCCGGGUAACCUGCUGAACCUCCUGCGUGCUUGGGACCGGGACUUGAAAUUGUGUCCCGCCAACGAGGAAUUCCCAGUAAGCGCGAGUCAUAAGCUCGUGCUGAUUACGUCCCUGCCCUUUGUACACACCGCCCGUCGCUACUACCGAUUGAACGAUUUAGUGAGGUCUUCGGACCAGCGCUCGAGAGCCUUCCUUCGGUUGGCACUGGUUGUUGCGGGGAAGAUGAUCGAACUUGCUCGU